rnacentral:rRNA from 1 species
GACGACGUUGAUAGGCCGGGUGUGUAAGCGCAGCGAUGCGUUGAGCUAACCGGUACUAAUGAACCGUGAGGCUUAACCUUACAACGCCGAAGCUGUUUUG